rnacentral:rRNA from 1 species
UACAUGGGGUGCAAACGUUGCUCGGAAUCAUUGGGCGUAAAGCGCGCGUAGGCGGUUACUUAAGUCGAAUGUGAAAGCCCUCGGCUUAACCGAGGAAGUGCAUCCGAAACUGAGUAGCUAGAGUACGAAAGAGGGUCGCGGAGUUCCCGGUGUAGAGGUGAAAUUCGUAGAUAUCGGGAGGAACACCGGUGGCGAAGGCGGCGACCUGGGUCGAGACUGACGCUGAGGCGCGAAAGCCAGGGGAGCAAACGGG